rnacentral:rRNA from 1 species
UCGUAAAGCUCUGUUGUUAAAGAAGAACGUGGGUGAGAGUAACUGUUCACCCAGUGACGGUAUUUAACCAGAAAGCCACGGCUAACUACGUGCCAGCAGCCGCGGUAAUACGUAGGUGGCAAGCGUUAUCCGGAUUUAUUGGGCGUAAAGCGAGCGCAGGCGGUCUUUUAAGUCUAAUGUGAAAGCCUUCGGCUCAACCGAAGAAGUGCAUUGGAAACUGGGAGACUUGAGUGCAGAAGAGGACAGUGGAACUCCAUGUGUAGCGGUGAAAUGCGUAGAUAUAUGGAAGAACACCAGUGGCGAAGGCGGCUGUCUGGUCUGUAACUGACGCUGAGGCUCGAAAGCAUGGGUAGCGAACAGGAUUAGAUACCCUGGUAGUCCAUGCCGUAAACGAUGAUUACUAAGUGUUGGAGGGUUUCCGCCCUUCAGUGCUGCAGCUAACGCAUUAAGUAAUCCGCCUGGGGAGUACGACCGCAAGGUUGAAACUCAAAAGAAUUGACGGGGGCCCGCACAAGCGGUGGAGCAUGUGGUUUAAUUCGAAGCUACGCGAAGAACCUUACCAGGUCUUGACAUCUUCUGCCAACCUAAGAGAUUAGGCGUUCCCUUCGGGGACAGAAUGACAGGUGGUGCAUGGUUGUCGUCAGCUCGUGUCGUGAGAUGUUGGGUUAAGUCCCGCAACGAGCGCAACCCUUAUUACUAGUUGCCAGCAUUCAGUUGGGCACUCUAGUGAGACUGCCGGUGACAAACCGGAGGAAGGUGGGGACGACGUCAAAUCAUCAUGCCCCUUAUGACCUGGGCUACACACGUGCUACAAUGGAUGGUACAACGAGUCGCGAAACCGCGAGGUUUAGCUAAUCUCUUAAAACCAUUCUCAGUUCGGACUGUAGGCUGCAACUCGCCUACACGAAGUCGGAAUCGCUAGUAAUCGCGGAUCAGCAUGCCGCGGUGAAUACGUUCCCGGGCCUUGUACACACCGCCCGUCACACCAUGAGAGUUUGUAACACCCAAAGCCGGUGGGGUAACC